rnacentral:rRNA from 1 species
AGAUUGAACGCUGGCGGCGUGCCUAACACAUGCAAGUCGAGCGGUAACAGGUGUAGCAAUACAUGCUGACGAGCGGCGAACGGGUGAGUAAUGCUUUGGAAUCUUCCCAGUAGUGGGGAAUAACCAGUCGAAAGAUUGGCUAAUACCGCAUACGUCUGUAAAGGGAAAGCGGGGGCUCGUAAGACCUCGCGCUAUUGGAUGAGCCAAAGUCGGAUUAGCUAGUUGGUGGGGUAACGGCCUACCAAGGCGACAAUCCGUAGCUGGUCUGAGAGGACGACCAGCCACACCGGAACUGAGACACGGUCCGGACUCCUACGGGAGGCAGCAGUGGGGGAAUAUUGGACAAUGGGGGAAACCCUGAUCCAGCGACGCCGCGUGUGUGAAGAAGGCCUGCGGGUUGUAAAGCACUUUUAGUGGGGACAAAAGCUACGGAUUAAUACUCUGUGGUCUUGAUUUAACCCAAAGUAAAAGCACCGGCUAACUCUGCGCCAGCAGCCGCGGU